AUUGAACGCUGGCGGCAUGCCUCACACAUGCAAGUCGAACGGCAGCACGGGUGCUUGCACCUGGUGGCGAGUGGCGAACGGGUGAGUAAUACAUCGGAACGUACCUUAUCGUGGGGGAUAACGCAGCGAAAGCUGUGCUAAUACCGCAUACGCCCUGCGGGGGAAAGCGGGGGAUCGCAAGACCUCGCGCGAUUAGAGCGGCCGAUCCCUGAUUAGCUUGUUGGUGGGGUAAAAGCCCACCAAGGCGACGAUCAGUAGCUGGUCUGAGAGGACGAUCAGCCCCACUGGGGCGGAGACACGGCCCGGACUCCUACGGGGGGCAGCAGUGUGGAAUUUUGGACAAUGGGGGCAACCCUGAUCCAGAGAUGCCGCGUGAGUGAAGAAGUCCUUCGGGUUGUAAAGCUCUUUUGUCAGGGAAGAAACACCGGCUCUAACACAGUCCGGGAAUGACGGUACCUGAAGAAUAAGCACCGGCUAACUACGUGCCAGCCGCCGCAGUAA
rnacentral:rRNA from 1 species